AAAUGUGCUGAUGCAAUUCAGCCCGAUGUUAUAUCUCUCAUUGCGUCGGGCCUCAAAGAGAAGGAAGCACUUAGAAGAGGUCAUCUUCGCUGCUUGCGAGUAAUGUGCCAAAAUGCUGAUGCUCUUCAACAUAUGUCCCCUCUGCUGGCAGCUCUUAUACAACUUGUUAAAACUGGUUACACGAAAGCAGCACAACGGUUGGAUGGCAUCUAUGCAUUACUCUGUGUGGCAAAACUUGCUGCAGUGGAUGUUAAAGCAGAUGAGACUAUGAUAAAGGAGAAAAUUUGGUCAUUGGUAUCACAGAAUGAGCCGUCAGUGGUGCCAAUUCCUCUGGCCUCAAAAUUAUCAAUAGAGGACUGUUUGGCUUGUCAUGACCUUUUUGAGGUGAUGCUUGUAGAUCAUUCACAAAGGGUAUUGGAGACUUUUGCAGUCAA
rnacentral:misc_RNA from 1 species